UACGAAGGGGGCUAGCGUUGCUCGGAAUGACUGGGCGUAAAGGGCGCGUAGGCGGAUGGCACAGUCAGAUGUGAAAUUCCCGGGCUUAACCUGGGGGCUGCAUUUGAUACGUGUUGUCUAGAGUGAGGAAGAGGGUUGUGGAAUUCCCAGUGUAGAGGUGAAAUUCGUAGAUAUUGGGAAGAACACCGGUGGCGAAGGCGGCGACCUGGUCCGAUACUGACGCUGAGGCGCGAAAGCGUGGGGAGCAAACAGG
rnacentral:rRNA from 1 species